AAAGCCGGGAUUCUGAGUGAAGAAUUGGAUUCCACAAGCUGAAAUUCCAGGAGAAACUUUUCUUCUUAGUACCAGCUCUACAAAUCUUCAAAAUUCUUUAAGAGAAUCACUCCUUUUGGCAUGUAUUUCUUGGUCUCUGUGUGUUUACUAAAUGGAACUACCCUGCUUGCUUUCAUCACAUUAGAGGCAGUCAGACUCCUGGCAGGAUAAGGAAAGGUUCUUUCUAAUUAGUUUUUUUUUCACGCUAAUGCUGCUUUCAAAUCUUGCUAAUGAUGAUUUUAGUUUCCUGUGACCUUGUGUGCUUCCUUACUGUGUGUUGCAGUUAGUUUUUUGCAUUUGAAGAUACAGGCAAAACAAGAGACCGGAAUCCAUUGAUUUUGAGACUUGCAUAACUCUGGGAGCAAAGCUGAGCAGUUUCGUGACUGACAUUCACAGCUGUAUCUGUGUGUCCCAGUAAUUCGGUGCACCAGCAGUGAAGCAAACAGUAGAUGAAAGAACCUGCUGAUGAGGCCUUUACAUCUUUACACUGAGCCCUGCCUGUCAGGUUUCUGUGGGACUGGGUUUAGCCUGGCCUUCUGAACUGAGUGCUGCCAUCAAAUGGGCUUGGAAGCUGCUCAGAGCUUCAGUCACUGACUGACUCUUCUGUGCCAUCAAAGCCUGGGUGUGCAGUCACUGAGUGCUCCAGAGGUCACUGCCUUCAUGCCCUGCAGGUUAAAACUACUUCUGGAUUCUGGCAAGAGAGCUUUUCCACAUUUUUACAUGCUGUUCCCAAGCCACUUAUUAGUGGGCCAUUGAUUUAUAGCCAGAAGGUAGCCUCCUCCCAAGUGAAAACCGUGAGAUAUUUGUUUGAAAACAUCAUGCUAAUUUAG
rnacentral:lncRNA from 1 species